CCUACGGGUGGCAGCAGUGAGGAAUAUUGGUCAAUGGGCUUACGCCUGAACCAGCCAAGUCGCGUGAGGGAAGACUGCCCUAUGGGUUGUAAACCUCUUUUGUCAGGGAGCAACGCCGGCUACGUGUAGCCGGACUGAGAGUACCUGAAGAAAAAGCAUCGGCUAACUCCGUGCCAGCAGCCGCGGUAAUACGGAGGUGGCAAGCGUUAUCCGGAUUUACUGGGUGUAAAGGGCGUGUAGGCGGGGAAGCAAGUCAGAUGUGAAAACCACGGGCUCAACCUGUGGCCUGCAUUUGAAACUGUUUUUCUUGAGUACUGGAGAGGCAGACGGAAUUCCUAGUGUAGCGGUGAAAUGCGUAGAUAUUAGGAGGAACACCAGUGGCGAAGGCGGUCUGCUGGACAGCAACUGACGCUGAGGCGCGAAAGCGUGGGGAGCAAACAGGAUUAGAUACCCUAGUAGUC
rnacentral:rRNA from 1 species